rnacentral:rRNA from 1 species
CUUAAAGGAAUUAGACGGGGCCCGGCACAAGCGGAGGAACAUGUGGUUUAAUUCGAUGAUACGCGAGGAACCUUACCCGGGCUUGAAAUGCAUCUGACCGGCCUUGAAAGAGGUUUUCCCUUCGGGGCGAGAUGUGUAGGUGCUGCAUGGUUGUCGUCAGCUCGUGCCGUGAGGUGUCGGCUUAAGUGCCAUAACGAGCGCAACCCUCAUCAUUAGUUACCAUCAGGUAAGGCUGGGGACUCUAAUGAGACUGCCAUCGUAAGAUGUGAGGAAGGUGGGGAUGACGUCAAAUCAGCACGGCCCUUACGUCCGGGGCGACACACGUGUUACAAUGGGUGGUACAAAGGGCAGCUACCUGGCGACAGGAUGCUAAUCUCCAAAACCACUCUCAGUUCGGAUCGGAGUCUGCAACUCGACUCCGUGAAGCUGGAUUCGCUAGUAAUCGCGCAUCAGCCACGGCGCGGUGAAUACGUUCCCGGGCCUU